CUCUCAGUAGUCAACAGAGACAGAAAGUAAAAGGCACAUAAAUGCCUGGAUUUCCUUCUAGAGGUUUUAGAAACACUCACAAGGUUGGUAGGCUGAUGUGGGAGGGUGUGGAAACGAUACAACUCUUGAGUGCACAUAAAAGCCUACGUUAAAUCCUCAAACGCUUAUAUUUUACAUAACGUUUGAUCGGGAAGCUUACAGGGUGUAGAUGUGAAAAGUGGGUUUUUCACCCUGGCUUGUUAGUGACUAGCGAUCACAGAUCCCAAAGAGGGCGCUAAAAGCAGGACGCCUCCAGGUGCGGGGAGCUGUCCCAAAGAGAGAAAGCAGCAGCAGCAGCAACACAAAACUCAGAGACCCUGGGCUGGGUUUUCCACCACAGCAGACAAAAGAGCGGAGCGAAUGAAGGGGACGCAGCGGGCCUUCUCGGGCGGUAGGAGAUCGGUCCCAGCAUUCAAAGUGUGUCUUCUAUUAUCUAAAUAAUCCUUACAACAUCCCUGUAAGAGAAUAGAAGAUGGUAUGAAGAGGUGCCAUUGCCUGCGGUAAGCAUCCUCCUCCUCCUGUAUCCCCUGUUCACAAGGGCUUCAGACA